UGCCAGACUCCUACGGGAGGCAGCAGUGGGGAAUAUUGCACAAUGGGGGAAACCCUGAUGCAGCGACGCCGCGUGAGCGAGGAAGUACCUCGGUAUGUAAAGCUCUGUCAGCAGGGAAGAAAAUGACAGUACCUGACCAAGAAGCCCCGGCUAACUACGUGCCAGCAGCCGCGGUAAUACGUAGGGGGCAAGCGUUAUCCGGAUUCACUGGGCGUAAAGGGAGCGCAGGCGGCACGGCAAGUCUGAUGUGAAAACCCGGGGCUCAACCCCGGGACUGCAUUGGAAACUGCCGGGCUGGAGUGUCGGAGGGGUAAGCGGAAUUCCUGGUGUAGCGGUGAAAUGCGUAGAUAUCAGGAGGAACACCGGUGGCGAAGGCGGCUUACUGGACGACAACUGACGCUGAGGCUCGAAAGCGUGGGGAGCAAACAGGAUUAGAUACCCCUGUA
rnacentral:rRNA from 1 species